GGACCCAUAGCUCAGCUGGAUAGAGUGCCUGACUACGAAUCAGGAGGUCGGGAGUUCGAAUCUUCCUGGGUCCGCCA
rnacentral:tRNA from 3 species